AUGGAAUCCAAGUUCUUUCGGUUCCUGAAGCUUGUCGGAGUUGGUUUCAAAGCAAGGACAGAGCAAGGAGGCCGUGAGUUGUUUCUGAAACUUGGCUACAGCCACGAGGUGCAGUUCACCGCUCCACCCGCCGUCCGUGUCUUCUGCUUCAAACCCAACAUAAUAUGCUGCACUGGCAUCGACAAGCACAGGGUGCACCAUUUCGCGGGAGCCGUCCGAAGCAGUAAACCUCCGGAAGUGUACAAGGGGAAGGGCAUACUGUACAUCGAUGAGGUCAUAAAGCUGAAGCCGGGGAAGAAGCAGCAGAAGAAGUAA
rnacentral:rRNA from 1 species